AUUUCGUCGCCGAGUGUUCUGGAAUUUGGCAGAUUUGAUCGGAGAGUCAGUUGGAGAAGAAAAUGACCGUAACAACCAACUCUAUGAACUGCGGAGAAUUCAGGUACUUCGGUAUUUAUAAAUAUUUUAUUAAUUUUUCUUUUUAAACGAUCGGUUAAUAAUUAGUUAAGUUAAUUGUUAGCAAGUUUACCAACUAAUCAGGGUUUUAAGGUUUAAUGACAAAUGUUUUCAGUAGAGGUGCAACUGGGUCGGAUGACAAUUUAUUGAUUUUAAAACGUAAAAAAAAGACAGUGAACAUUAUAUAAGUAUUUGCUCCUCUGUAAUUCUAUAUUUUUCACUUCAUAUUUUUUUACUUUACCUAUCACAUUUUGAUCAUGUGUAUUUUUGAUCAUAUUGAUCAAAUGUUUUCAGUAAGGGUGCAAUCGGGGCGGAUUUCAGACGGGUUUAGCAAACCGUCCCAUAAAAGGAGACUGGGUUUGGGAUGCGUCCGAGGUCCCAAAUGAGAUUUUUCGAAGAUAUAAUAUAUCAGAGGACUUCUACUAGGCACCACUUGAUAAUGCUCUUUUUUUUGAGUUUGAAACUAGUUGACAAUUUAUUGAUAACGCUAGAGCGGCCCAGGAACAUCUUUAGACCCAUCCGGCCCAAUCCCGACCUGAUGGGUAGAAAAAGGUCCAUAAAUACCGACCUACUAAGAGGGAGGACAUAUUACAUUCGGCAUCUGUGCUACACCAGAGAGAUAAAGAAAGAAAAAGAUUAAACCCUAAGUCCAUUUCUGAUUAUAAACAUCAUUUUUAUUACAAAUAUAAGAAUACAAGUGGCAAAAGUUUCUCUCCACAAGUCUCUCUUUUCCUCUCCCCAAUGGUCUCUAGGUCCGUGGGGCCUCUAGGCCCGUGGACUUGUACGGUUCUUGGGCCAGUGAUUGGGCUAUGAUACCAACUACGUACCAAGAACACCCUCCAUUAGAAGAAGAGAACUACAAAUCACCUGAUUACUCCAUGAUAAACAACAUUAUCUCAAGAACACCCCCAUCGAUCCUCCGUAAUACCGAUUGCUAGGUAGAUAAUUACCUGCACAACAUACUACUGAUCACACUAUCUACCAUCAUCUUUAUUUUUUUUGCCCCACCCUGUCUGCUGCUGUGGUCAUAUUUUCCAAAAUGGGUCUCGGGAAAGUUACUCUGUCGCCGUCCGUUUUUACCCUGGUCUUCAUAAACCAAGGUGGGACGUGAGACAAGGUCGUUUCGUCCCGUUCUCAUCCCUAACCGGAACCCAACUCGUGAUUUUUCAUAUAAUUUUAAAAUGAAUUAAUCAUUAAUUAAACUUUGGUAUGUAUUUUUAAAUAGGCUCAGGAUCAAGUGCGACCACCUUAUUAGUUAUAAAAUUAUAAUUAUAAUUAAAAUUAUAAUUAUAAUCAUUAAUAUUAAUUCUAAACUAAUCUUAACCAUUUAGUUUUCUUUUAUUUUGAGUUUAAAUCAAACAGGAUAAAAGAAGAGUUGCAGCCCAUAUGCAUAAUGGACCGGCCCAGAAGAUUGUUUUAACUAAAUCAUAUAUAUUGGACCUGGUUGUAAUAAAACAACAUUCAGGGUUAGAUUGAUAUUUAGUUAAAUCGUGUAAAUGGACCUGGUUGUAAUAAAAUAACAUUCGGGGUUGUAAUAGAAUUAGU
rnacentral:lncRNA from 1 species